rnacentral:rRNA from 1 species
GAUGAACGCUAGCGGCAGGCCUAACACAUGCAAGUCGAGGGGUAGAAUUAGCUUGCUAAUUUGAGACCGGCGCACGGGUGCGUAACGCGUAUGCAAUCUGCCUUGUACUGAGGGAUAGCCCAGAGAAAUUUGGAUUAAUACCUCAUAGUAUUAUGAUGUGGCAUCUCAUUAUAAUUAAAGUUCCAACGGUACAAGAUGAGCAUGCGUCCCAUUAGUUAGUUGGUAAGGUAACGGCUUACUAAGACGAUGAUGGGUAGGGGUCCUGAGAGGGAGAUCCUCCACACUGGUACUGAGACACGGGACCAGACUCCUACGGGAGGCAGCAGUGAGGAAUAUUGGUCAAUGGGCGCAAGCCUGAACCAGCCAUGCUGCGUGCAGGAUGACGGUCCUAUGGAUUGUAAAACUGCUUUUAUACGGGAAGAAACACUGCUACGUGUAGCAGCUUGACGGUACCGUAAGAAUAAGGAUCGGCUAACUCCGUGCCAGCAGCCGCGGUAAUACGGAGGAUCCAAGCGUUAUCCGGAAUCAUUGGGUUUAAA